rnacentral:rRNA from 1 species
GAUGAACGCUGGCGGCGUGCCUAAUACAUGCAAGUCGAGCGAACGGACGAGAAGCGUUCUUUUCUGAUGUUAGCGGCGGACGGGUGAGUAACACGUGGAUAACCUACCUAUAAUACUGGGAUAACUUCGGGAAACCGGUGCUAAUACCGGAUAAUAUUUUGAACCGGAUGGUUCAAAAGUGAAAGGCGGUCUUGCUGUCACUUAUAGAUGGAUCCGCGCUGCAUUAGCUAGUUGGUAAGGUAACGGCUUACCAAGGCAACGAUGCAUGGCCGACCUGAGAGGGUGAUCGGCCACACUGGAACUGAGACACGGUCCAGACUCCUACGGGAGGCAGCAGUAGGGAAUCUUCCGCAAUGGGCGAAAGCCUGACGGAGCAACGCCGCGUGAGUGAUGAAGGUCUUCGGAUCGUAAAACUCUGUUAUUAGGGAAGAACAUAUGUGUAAGUAACUGUGCACAUCUUGACGGUACCUAAUCAGAAAGCCACGGCUAACUACGUG